ensembl:lncRNA
CUCCCUUUCCCCCCCCCGCCCCCCUCCCCGCCUCUCUCUCUCGCUACUGGAAGAUUACAGAUCCGUGCGCGAUUAUUUUUUGAUUCCUCGUUGUCUGCUGCGCUGGCACCGUCCUGCGAGCGGCGGAGCGGCUCGGCGCCGGGCUUCCCCUGCUGACAUAGGCCACAGAAGCAAUAGAAAGUGUGGAUUCCCUCCUUUCUGAUUUAUCAGCCACUUGUGCUAUGGUGUGCUCAGAACAGAACGGGUUCCUACUGUGCCUGCUGGUGUACACACGAAGUUAAAGAGACAGAGCCCUGGCAGAGAGGUUUGCUUUAAUUUGCUCAACACCUGAGGUGUUAAAAGUAAAGCCAAACAGGAGAAGCUUUUUGCUUUUUUUUUUUUUUUUUUGAGGUGAAGCACUGGCUGUUCAAGUGCAGGUUUACCAGCGCCAGGAGGCAGAGCGUGGGAGGAUGCCACAGAGGGCCCCAGGUCCUCCAUCCCCUCCUGUUCCCCUACCUUGAGUUCCAGCUGCACUCACCCAGGCCCAUAGACUGGCAGUUGGAGAGAGUUUAAACGAACCAGGGAACUGAAUGUAAGCAAUGAUGGCAUUAAGCUCUGCUAAAGAUAGAGGCUUCCCAUUGAAUUUCCUUCCUGCGUGACUCUGGAGCGUAAUCCUAGCACCAGGACCACUUCUCAGGUGGAAAGGAAGAAAAUUAUUACUGACAAGGUCCAAAGGCUGGGAUCCUGACCUCCUCAGUUUUGAACUGUGCCUUACAGAUUGGCAUUGCAGAUCUGUGGAUUCAUCUGAUUUGCUUAACAUGGAUCAGAAUGUAAUUCCUGCUCCCGAAUCACUGUGUUGGAAACCAAGCUAUCUUAUGAAUUUUCUAGUGUUUUGUUUUCUUUUUUGUUUGGUUGGUUUUAGUGUUUUGUUGUUGUUGUUGUUGUUAUUGUUUUUGAUAGGCUGAAAGAUUUCCUUUCUAUAGCAGAGAGAUUCUGAAGGCAAGCGUAAGGAAGAAGAAAAAUCUCUGGUCAAAAUUACAGUGGUAACAGCAAGUUUCUAAAGAGAUCAAUUUUGGUUUAGGCAAGGGCAAGAUUAAGCAGAGAAAAAGAGGUAAGGUAGAGGCGUUUCACUAACACGUAUUACAAAAUUGUUGACUUGGGUUGGCUCUUGCUGGUUGAAUUUUAGGAGGGAAUGGUCCUGAAAGUAUUGAUUCAUUACUGUAAGACUGGGCUAGCAGAGGUCCAUAAAUCAACUGUAUUUUAGAAUGGAAGAGAGGUUGGGCUGUCCAUUAACCCACCUCUGGCUACAGGCAUAGGCCAGUUCCUAGCCAAGUGAGCAGCAGGACCAGGACCAGCACACUUGACAUUGCCCAUGGGUGCCAGUACCCAGUGUUUAGCUCGGGUGUGUCCCUGGCUUGAUGCGAUCUGUCUGCUCAGUGACCUUCACCACAUCCCUCCUCCACGUUCUUCUGCAGCCCCUCCUUAGAUCCACGUGAGCUAUCUGUACUAUCUGUACUAUCUUAAGGCAAAGAAUGUCACAAGUAUAUUACCCACGUACAUAUAAAAUAAUACAAUUUAUUAUACUGUUUGCUUUGAACUUGCCUACCGCCAGCUUCAUCUGAUGCACCCUUAUUCCUGUAUUGAUAGUGAAGGCAGAAAGUUGAUCCCUGUUCAUCCUUUUCAUGUGCCAUUUUAAAAUGUUUGUUGCUAUUUUGAAGAAGCAUCGGAGGGGCAAUUAAAGUCUCUGAAGUAGAGGCUGUAGUCUCUGUGCUGGAAGCCUAUUUCUUCUUAGCUCUCAGCUACUGCUCAGCCCGCUUUCUGUGGCAGAUGCUGGAGCUGCUCUUGUAUGGCAGGCCUUCCAAGAUCCCAGGGAACUGGAAGCUCCGCCGAGCACACUUGGGGAGAGCCACUCUUUCCCACUGUUAGGGAUGAUGCGUUGGAGGAAAAGAUGCAGUCAUGCAUAUUGCGCUCUUAAAGCCCUGCUGGCCUUUCUGCAAGCAGAAUCUAAAAGAAUAGUAAGGAGUGGAAAUAAAGAGAAGAAAAUCUGCUGUUCCACGGAAAUCAGCUCCAUUCUAAGAAUAUUGCUUGCUAAGAAUUAAAGCUCAAGGAAUCAGUGCAAACUUCAGCUGAGAGCUCAAGUAAAAACCUGAAGUAGUUCAAGCCUUUCUCUAAGGGAGCAAGACUUUGUUUCUGGAGUUUGGCAGCAGACCUUAAUCAGGCAGAGCUGACAAUAAUUAAAACAG